UGCAGUCGAGCGGUAGCACAGAGAGCUUGCUCUCGGGUGACGAGCGGCGGACGGGUGAGUAAUGUCUGGGAAACUGCCUGAUGGAGGGGGAUAACUACUGGAAACGGUAGCUAAUACCGCAUAAUGUCGCAAGACCAAAGUGGGGGACCUUCGGGCCUCAUGCCAUCAGAUGUGCCCAGAUGGGAUUAGCUAGUAGGUGGGGUAACGGCUCACCUAGGCGACGAUCCCUAGCUGGUCUGAGAGGAUGACCAGCCACACUGGAACUGAGACACGGUCCAGACUCCUACGGGAGGCAGCAGUGGGGAAUAUUGCACAAUGGGCGCAAGCCUGAUGCAGCCAUGCCGCGUGUGUGAAGAAGGCCUUCGGGUUGUAAAGCACUUUCAGCGGGGAGGAAGGCGUUAAGGUUAAUAACCUUGGCGAUUGACGUUACCCGCAGAAGAAGCACCGGCUAACUCCGUGCCAGC
rnacentral:rRNA from 1 species